GCCUGGAUGGCUUAGUUGGUUGAGCGUCCGACUUCAGUUCUGGUCAUGAUCUCAUGGUUCAUGGGUUCAAGCCCCACAUCAGGCU
rnacentral:tRNA from 1 species